rnacentral:rRNA from 1 species
GACCCGUCUUGAAGCAAGGAGUCUAACAUGCGCGCGAGUCGUUGGGUCGGACACGCUCCGCUAAACCCAUAGGCGCAAUGAAAGUGAAGGCCGCCUUCUGGUGGCCGAGGGAGGACGGGGUCGUUCGCGCGCUCCGGCGCGCGUCGGUCCCCGCACCCCCGGGGCGUCUGAUCCCUCAUCGCGAGGGGAGGCGCACCCAGAGCGCACACGUUGGGACCCGAAAGAUGGUGAACUAUGCCUGGCCAGGACGAAGUCAGGGGAAACCCUGAUGGAGGUCCGUAGCGAUUCUGACGUGCAAAUCGAUCGUCGGAGCUGGGUAUAGGGGCGAAAGACUAAUCGAACCAUCGUAGCUGGUUCCUUCCGA